UCCGUAGGGUGCAAGCGUUGUCCGGAAUUAUUGGGCGUAAAGAGCUCGUAGGCGGUCUGUUGCGUCGGCUGUGAAAACCCGGGGCUCAACUCCGGGCCUGCAGCCGAUACGGGCAGACUAGAGUUCGGCAGGGGAGACUGGAAUUCCUGGUGUAGCGGUGAAAUGCGCAGAUAUCAGGAGGAACACCGGUGGCGAAGGCGGUUCGCUGGGCCUGUACUGACGCUGAGGAGCGAAAGCGUGGGGAGCGAACAGG
rnacentral:rRNA from 1 species